rnacentral:lncRNA from 1 species
GCCGUGACCUGGGGUCCCUGACCCCGCGACCCCGAGAGGCCCAUGUCACCUGCUGGUAGUCGGUGUCCUCGGGCCGGAACUGGCUGCUAGUGGCCUCCCAGCUCAGGUCGAAGUGGGGCAGCCGGUGCAGGAGGCUCACCCACCAGGGCGCCGCGUAGCUGACCCCGGCCAUGGCGGGGCCCGGCCGCCUCCGGAUGCGCGCGGCCUGCGCGGGGCUCCCUUGCUGGCCCGGGGCGCGGGCUUCAGGGACCCGUCGACCCCCGCCUGGCCGCCCGCAUCAUCCGCGCGCUCCUGGGCCCGGCCCGGCCCGGCUCGGCCCGGCUCGGCUGCGCUCGGCUCCGCUCGGCCGCCCGCGCCCGCCGCCUCUUUGUUCGCCGCCGCCGCCGCC